GGACCCCACUCCCUACCCAGAACCCAGUUCUCUCACCUCCCUUGACUCUCCAGGGCACAGAGUACCAUAGGGCAUGGAGUGCUUGUGGUUGGCUGGGCCAUCUGAGCCGCUCCACCGUUAACUCGGUCCUUGCAGCCCCUGUGAACCUGCCCAGGGCCAGCUGGAACACAUGACACUGUCCAGGACGAGCUGCCCUGCUUCUUGGCUCCCCUGACUAGGAGUCCCGGGCACCUGAUACUGAUAUUGCUGCUUCCAAGAUGGUGACCUGCUUCACUGGGGCGCUCGCCAGCUGGAGGAACAAGAGAGCAGUGUGAGCGGCAGAUGGGGGCCCAGACAAGAGCCCUUUGAGAGCAGAGCACGGAAGGGGAGGGCCCGGCCUCCCAGACCUGCCACUUCCCAGGGACGCAGCACAGGCGGGCAGCCCACGCAAAGAAUAGCUCCCUGUCUCCACCUUAGAGACAAGCCCAGCUGCCAGCCUCAUUAACUUUUCUACUUCCCUUCCCAAUCUGUUUAUUUUGGGCAACUUGGAUUUCUUCUGCAAAUGCGUGAGUGUCAGCAUGGGGGGCAGCGGAGCUGACGUGCAGGAUAUAGCCCCCAGUGAUGGGUUCCCGUCACCCCCCACACUGGCUGCUCUGACAGCUGGCCCUUGGACAACACGGGCUUGAACUACGAGGCUCUGCUCACACUCGGGAUUUUCUUCAAUGAACCUGACUGCAGGACUGGAGACCUACAAGCCACAGAUGCAGAAUAGUGGGCAGGGAGGGCCAAUUGUGAAGGCGGCACCCAGGGUAAGUUGUGUGGCACUCAGUCCUGGAACUCCAGGAUGGUGCAGGCAGGUCACGGGGCACACAGCAGCAGGACAGACUCAGCUCCCAUGACAGGGUCCUGGCAGGUUCUGCACUGCCCACGGCUCCCAGCAGGCACGUGUUGCUGGUCUGAGGACCCCAUACCACAGUCCCCACAACGUUGCCUUGAAGAAACAGCUGACCAUCCACCAGGAGCUGCCCCUUCACUAGGUCCAGAGAUGUUGUGCCUCUGGGGUCACUCCAGACCCGACACCCAGCAUCACUAUGAGGACAUCACACACAGCCCAACUGGGGAUGUUCCCCACACACAAGACCAGCCCUCAUGCUCAGCUGUCUACAAUAGGAGGGGGACUAUCCCAGCCAAGAGGGCCUGGCAGAGGUGAGCACGGAGAACAGAAGGUGACCUGGGUGAAGUGUGGGUGUGGUGGUCACUGUGUUGUGGAAAACAAGCCUGACUGACGGGAGGACUGGUCAUGGGCUGAGGGUUCUGUGCCAUGUUUGCAGCUCCCUGUGCGUCUAAAACUCUUCUGAGCUUUAA